rnacentral:rRNA from 1 species
UACGUAGGGUGCAAGCGUUAAUCGGAAUUACUGGGCGUAAAGAGUGCGUAGGCGGAAAUGUAAGUUAGAUGUGAAAUACCCGAGCUUAACUUGGGAACUGCAUUUAAGACUGCAUAUCUAGAGUUUGUCAGAGGGGGGGUAGAAUUCCAAGUGUAGCAGUGAAAUGCGUAGAGAUUUUGGAGGAAUACCGAUGGCGAAGGCAGCCCCCCUGGGGAUAGAACUGACGCUGAGGCACGAAAGCGUGGGUAGCAAACAGG